rnacentral:rRNA from 1 species
GACGAACGCUGGCGGCGUGCUUAACACAUGCAAGUCGAACGGAAAGGCCCUGCUUUUGUGGGGUGCUCGAGUGGCGAACGGGUGAGUAACACGUGAGUAACCUGCCCUUGACUUUGGGAUAACUUCAGGAAACUGGGGCUAAUACCGGAUAGGAGCUCCUGCUGCAUGGUGGGGGUUGGAAAGUUUCGGCGGUUGGGGAUGGACUCGCGCAUUAUAAGAUUGUUGGUAGGGUAGUGGCUUACCAAGGCUUUGACGGGUAGCUGGCCUGAGAGGGUGACCGGCCUCGUUAGGACUGCGAUACGGCCCACAGUCAUACCGGAGGCAGCAGUGGGGUAUAUUGCCCUAUGAGCGGACGCCUGAUUCAGCAACCCCGCGUGCUGGAUAACGGCCUUCCGCUUGUAAACCGCUUUCGCCUGUGACGAAGCGUGAGUGACGGUAAUGGGUAAAGAAGCACCGGCUAACUACGUG